rnacentral:rRNA from 1 species
CUACGGGUGGCAGCAGUGGGGAAUAUUGCACAAUGGAGGAAACUCUGAUGCAGCAACGCCGCGUGGAGGAUGACACUUUUCGGAGCGUAAACUCCUUUUAUAUAGGAAGAUAAUGACGGUACUAUAUGAAUAAGCACCGGCUAACUCCGUGCCAGCAGCCGCGGUAAUACGGAGGGUGCAAGCGUUACUCGGAAUCACUGGGCGUAAAGAGCGUGUAGGCGGAUAGAUAAGUCAGGAGUGAAAUCCUAUGGCUCAACCAUAGAACUGCUCUUGAAACUGUCUAUCUAGAAUAUGGGAGAGGUAGAGGGAAUUUCUGGUGUAGGGGUAAAAUCCGUAGAGAUCAGAAGGAAUACCGAUUGCGAAGGCGAUCUACUGGAACAUUAUUGACGCUGAGACGCGAAAGCGUGGGGAGCGAACAGGAUUAGAUACCCUGGAAGUC